ensembl:lncRNA
GUGCACACAAUGUCCAUUUACUAAAAUAAAAUUGGUUCUGCAAUGUAGAAAAAGCCAAUAACAAGGUGAGGUGACCAAAAGUUAUAUCUAAAUGUAAACUUAUUUUAGAAGAAAUAGAGACAUUUUUAAAGAAAAGUGCAAGGGUGCUUUAAUCAGAUUCCAUCAUGGAUGAUUGUUUUAUCCAUUUGAAUACAGGGGAUAUCAUAGGCCACUCCAUUAGUAGACUACUGCAGAGGAACCCUCAUGUUCUCUCCUGGAUCACAUUGGUAUUCACUAUUACACAUGCGCCGAAUACAACAGGUGUAGGUAGACAUUACAGUGAAAUGCUGAAUACAACAGGUGUAGGUAGACAUUACAGUGAAAUGCUGAAUACAACAGGUGUAGUAGACAUUACAGUGAAAUGCUGAAUACAACAGGUGUAGGUAGACAUUACAGUGAAAUGCUGAAUACAACAGGUGUAGGUAGACAUUACAGUGAAAUGCUGAAUACUACAGGUGUAGUAGACCUCACAGUGAAAUGCUGAAUACAACAGGUGUAGUAGACCUUACAGUGAAAUGCUGAAUACAACAGGUGUAGUAGACCUUACAGUGAAAUGCUGAAUACAACAGGUGUAGUAGACCUUACAGUGAAAUGCUGAAUACAACAGGUGUAGUAGACCUCACAGUGAAAUGCUGAAUACAACAGGUGUAGGUAGACAUUACAGUGAAAUGCUGAAUACAACAGGUGUAGUAGACAUUACAGUGAAAUGCUGAAUACAACAGGUGUAGUAGACCUUACAGUGAAAUGCUGAAUACA